CCUGACUGCUAUCGGAUUGAUACUAAGCCAUGCUAGUCUUUGUAGUAAUACAAGGCAUACGGCUCAGUAACGCGUAGUCAACCUACCCUAUGGACGGGGAUAAUCUCGGGAAACUGAGCAUAAUACCCGGUAGACCACUUAUCCUGGAAUGGUUAGUGGUUAAAAUGAUUCGUCGCCAUAGGAUGGGACUGCGGCCUAUCAGCUUGUUGGUGAGGUAAUGGCCCACCAAGGCGAUUACAGGUACGGGCUCUGAGAGGAGAGGCCCGGAGAUGGGUACUGAGACAAGGACCCAGGCCCUAUGGGGCGCAGCAGGCGAGAAAACUUUGCAAUGUGCGAAAGCACGACAAGGUUAAUCCGAGUGAUUUCUGCUAAAGGAAUCUUUUGUUAGUUCUAAAAAUACUAGUGAAUAAGGGGUGGGCAAGUUCUGGUGUCAGCCGCCGCGGUAAAACCAGCACCUCAAGUGGUCAGGAGGAUUAUUGGGCCUAAAGCAUCCGUAGCCUGUUCUAUAAGUUUGCGGUUAAAUCUAUACGCUCAACGUAUAGGCUGCUGUAAAUACUGUAGAACUAGGGAGUGGGAGAGGUAGACGGUACUCGGUAGGAAGGGGUAAAAUCCUUUGAUCUAUCGAUGACCACCUGUGGCGAAGGCGGUCUACCAGAACACGUUCGACGGUGAGGGAUGAAAGCUGGGGGAGCAAACCGGAUUAGAUACCCGGGUAGUCCCAGCUGUAAACGAUGCAGACUCGAUGAUGCAAUGGCAUAGAGCUAUUGCAGUAUCGCAGGGAAGCCGUUAAGUCUGCCGCCUGGGAAGUACGUACGCAAGUAUGAAACUUAAAGGAAUUGGCGGGGGAGCACCACAAGGGGUGAAGCCUGCGGUUCAAUUGGAGUCAACGCCGGGAAGCCGA
rnacentral:rRNA from 1 species